GACGAACGCUGGCGGCGUGCCUAAUACAUGCAAGUCGAACGAGAGCAACCGGUGCUUGCACUGGUCAAUCUAGUGGCGAACGGGUGAGUAACACGUGGGUAACCUGCCCAUCAGAGGGGGAUAACAUCCGGAAACGGAUGCUAAAACCGCAUAGGUCUUCGAACCGCAUGGUUUGAAGAGGAAAAGAGGCGCAAGCUUCUGCUGAUGGAUGGACCCGCGGUGCAUUAGCUAGUUGGUGAGGUAACGGCUCACCAAGGCCGUGAUGCAUAGCCGACCUGAGAGGGUGAUCGGCCACAUUGGGACUGAGACACGGCCCAAACUACUACGGGAGGCAGCAGUAGGGAAUCUUACGCAAUGGACGCAAGUCUGACGGAGCAACGCCGCGUGAGUGAAGAAGGUUUUCGGAUCGUAAAACUCUGUUGUUAGAGAAGAACAAGUGCUAGAGUAACUGUUAGCGACUUGACGGUAUCUAACCAGAAAGCCACGGCUAACUACGUG
rnacentral:rRNA from 1 species